UAAUAAGUGUUUUAUGGCACCUUUUAAAUCCAUAUCCACCUUGUGUGCAAUGUCGGUCGAUCUUCUUCUUAGAGGAUCGACCAAACAUCAACCUUUAUCUUUUAACUCUUUGUCUGAAAAAUAUUAUGAAUAAACAAUUCAAAAUA
rnacentral:misc_RNA from 1 species